AUUGAAUAAAAAUCUUUGCCGUGUGUGAAAUGGAGUUCUUCGAGGCUGUAUCUUUUAAUGGCUGAGAGGACAAAGCAUUCCAAACAGGCAGGCAAGGGAGUGGAAAAGGAGAAUGAAGAAAGGAAACACAAUCUAGAUGUGGAAUGAAGGAACAGCAAUCACAUUGAUGAAGCUGGCAGAGGACAACCAAUAAAUAUGUCAUCCUUUGCUGGUGGUUUUUUUUU
rnacentral:lncRNA from 1 species